rnacentral:rRNA from 1 species
ACUGGAACUGAGACACGGUCCAGACUCCUACGGGAGGCAGCAGUGGGGAAUAUUGCACAAUGGAGGAAACUCUGAUGCAGCAAUGCCGCGUGAAGGAUGACGGUUUUCGGAUUGUAAACUUCUUUUAUAUACCAAGAUAAUGACGGUAGUAUAUGAAUAAGCACCGGCUAACUCCGUGCCAGCAGCCGCGGUAAUACGGAGGGUGCAAGCGUUACUCGGAAUCACUGGGCGUAAAGGGUACGUAGGUGUUCUAAUAAGUUGGAUGUGAAAUCCUAUGGCUUAACCAUAGAAGUGCAUUCAAAACUGUUAGAAUAGAGUUUGGGAGGGGUAAGUGGAAUUAGUGGUGUAGGGGUAAAAUCCGUAGAUAUCACUAGGAAUACCAAAAGCGAAGGCGACUUACUGGAACAAUACUGACACUGAGGUACGAAAGCGUGGGGAGCAAACAGGAUUAGAUACCCUGGUAGUCCACGCCCUAAACGAUGAAUGCUAAUCGUUGUGAGGCUUUGACCUUGCAGUGAUGCAGUUAACACAUUAAGCAUUCCGCCUGGGGAGUACGGUCGCAAGAUUAAAACUCAAAGAAAUAGACGGGGACCCGCACAAGCGGUGGAGCAUGUGGUUUAAUUCGAAAAUACGCGAAGAACCUUACCUAGCCUUGACAUUGAUAGAAUCUUAUAGAAAUAUAGGAGUGCCUUUCGGGGAACUUGAAAACAGGUGCUGCACGGCUGUCGUCAGCUCGUGUCGUGAGAUGUUGGGUUAAGUCCCGCAACGAGCGCAACCCUUAUCUUUAGUUACUAACGGUUCGGCCGAGGACUCUAAAGAGACUGCCCUCGCAAGGGGGAGGAAGGUGAGGACGACGUCAAGUCAUCAUGGCCCUUACGGCUAGGGCUACACACGUGCUACAAUGGGGUGUUACAAUGAGAUGCAAUGUCGCGAGGCGGAGCAAAACUAUAAAGCACCUCCCAGUUCGGAUUGGAGUCUGCAACUCGACUCCAUGAAGUUGGAAUCGCUAGUAAUCGCGAAUCAGCCAUGUCGCGGUGAAUACGUUCCCGGGUCUUGUACUCACCGCCCGUCACACCAUGGGAGUUGAAUUCACCUGAAGUCGGAAUACUAAAUUAGUUACCGCCCACGGUGGGUUCAGCGACUGGGGUGAAGUCGUAACAAGGUAACCGUAGGAG